AACACUGUUAACCUGCGGUACCUGCGGAGGGAUCAUUACCGAGUUUACAACUCCCAAACCCCUGUGAACAUACCAAUUGUUGCCUCGGCGGAUCAGCCCGCUCCCGGUAAAACGGGACGGCCCGCCAGAGGACCCCUAAACUCUGUUUCUAUAUGUAACUUCUGAGUAAGACCAUAAAUAAAUCAAAACUUUCAACAAUGGAUCU
rnacentral:misc_RNA from 1 species